UAUAAGUGCAACCAUCCUAACUUUAACCGUUUGUCUUAUUUAAAGUUUUUUUAUAAUUAGUAUUUUUAUUGUUGUGAGAUGAUAAAAUAUGAAUAUUACUUCAUAUGUGACUAAUGUUUUUUAAUUUUUUCAAACAAAUUUCAAAUAAGGCCUUGUUUGGUUCAAAC
rnacentral:pre_miRNA from 1 species